rnacentral:rRNA from 1 species
UACGGAGGAUCCGAGCGUUAUCCGGAUUUAUUGGGUUUAAAGGGAGCGUAGGUGGAUUGUUAAGUCAGUUGUGAAAGUUUGCGGCUCAACCGUAAAAUUGCAGUUGAAACUGGCAGUCUUGAGUACAGUAGAGGUGGGCGGAAUUCGUGGUGUAGCGGUGAAAUGCUUAGAUAUUGCGCAGAACUCCGAUUGCGAAGGCAGCAUACCGGCGGCGAUCUGACGCUGAGGCACGAAAGCGUGGGUAUCGAACAGG